CCUCCCUGACCCACUCAGCAGCCACUUCUAUCUCCUACCAGCUUAUGUGCUAUGUAGCAGACAACUCAAAAAGCCUACAAGUCACAAUGAUUUAUGGAUGUUAAUGUACAGUGGAAUGUCUUCUGAAUUCCUCUGGCUCAUCAAAGAAGUACCUUUGAGGAUUAUUCUACAGACUUCCUGCAGUCCUCUUAAUCCACUCUCCAGCAAGUUUAUCUGCAAAAGAUGCUGAGCAAUAUUGCUAUUCAACAGAUGUGCCAAAAGCAACCUUAUUAUUAUUCAGGAGAUACUUUCUUAUUUGAAGAAGUUGAGGAAAUCAAUAUACUGUAGUGACUGAUGUAUUCCAUGGCUCAAGGCUCAAGAGAGAAUGAAUUUCCUUCCCAAAUCCAAAGAUAAAAAUCCAAAUCCCUGGCUAUCUUUAUAAGAGUGAAUUCAUAAAAAAUCCAUAUUUCUAGGACCUGCCUUUUCCUUGGGCAGCUGGAAAACUUA
rnacentral:lncRNA from 1 species